GAUGAACGCUGGCGGCGUGCCUAACACAUGCAAGUCGAACGAAGCACUUUGAAGUUUUCGGACGGAUGAGUGACUGAGUGGCGGACGGGUGAGUAACGCGUGGGUAACCUGCCUCAUACAGGGGGACAACAGUUAGAAAUGACUGCUAAUACCGCAUAAGCGCACAGCUUCGCAUGAAGCGGUGUGAAAAACUCCGGUGGUAUGAGAUGGACCCGCGUCUGAUUAGCUAGUUGGCGGGGUAACGGCCCACCAAGGCGACGAUCAGUAGCCGACCUGAGAGGGUGACCGGCCACAGUGGGACUGAGACACGGCCCAAACUCCUACGGGAGGCAGCAGUGGGGAAUAUUGCACAAUGGGCGAAAGCCUGAUGCAGCAACGCCGCGUGAGUGAAGAAGUAUUUCGGUAUGUAAAGCUCUAUCAGCAGGGAAGAAAAUGACGGUACCUGACUAAGAAGCCCCGGCUAACUACGUGCCAGCAGCCGCGGUAAUAC
rnacentral:rRNA from 1 species